AAAUUUAUGUGACAGGAAAAACUGUGAUCAAGGAGGUGGUUUCACAGGGCCAGGCUCCCCCAUGGCUUUUGCGAUGUGCUGACUCCUGUGAGUUCCCCAAAUAUGUGAAACUUGACUACAUAAUUUGUGGUAGUAGGGGACUGCGUUCACACUUUCCCCUU
ensembl:snRNA U1 U1 spliceosomal RNA